CGUGAGGGGAUCCCUUCGGGGUGAAGCUCGUGGAACGAGCGGCGGACGGGUGAGUAACACGUGGGCAACCUGCCUGUAAGAUCGGAAUAACCCCGGGAAACCGGGGCUAAUGCCGGGUAAUACUUUUCUUCGCAUGAAGAUGAGUUGAAAGAUGGCUUCUCGCUAUCACUUACAGAUGGGCCCGCGGCGCAUUAGCUAGUUGGUGAGGUAACGGCUCACCAAGGCAACGAUGCGUAGCCGACCUGAGAGGGUGAUCGGCCACACUGGGACUGAGACACGGCCCAGACUCCUACGGGAGGCAGCAGUAGGGAAUCUUCCGCAAUGGACGAAAGUCUGACGGAGCAACGCCGCGUGAACGAUGAAGGUCUUCGGAUCGUAAAGUUCUGUUGUCAGGGAAGAACAAGUACCGUGCGAAUAGAGCGGUACCUUGACGGUACCUGACGAGGAAGCCCCGGCUAACUACGUGCCAGCAGCCGCGGUAAUACGUAGGGGGCAAGCGUUGUCCGGAAUUAUUGGGCGUAAAGCGCGCGCAGGCGGUUCCUUAAGUCUGAUGUGAAAGCCCACGGCUCAACCGUGGAGGGUCAUUGGAAACUGGGGAACUUGAGGACAGAAGAGGAGAGUGGAAUUCCACGUGUAGCGGUGAAAUGCGUAGAUAUGUGGAGGAACACCAGUGGCGAAGGCGACUCUCUGGUCUGUUUCUGACGCUGAGGUGCGAAAGCGUGGGUAGCAAACAGGAUUAGAUACCCUGGUAGUCCACGCCGUAACGAUGAGUGCUAGGUGUUAGGGGGCUUCCACCCCUUAGUGCUGAAGUUAACGCAUUAAGCACUCCGCCUGGGGAGUACGGCCGCAAGGCUGAAACUCAAUGUUUUUUGGGGGG
rnacentral:rRNA from 1 species